UACGGAGGGGGCUAGCGUUGUUCGGAAUUACUGGGCGUAAAGCGCACGUAGGCGGCUUUGCAAGUCAGAGGUGAAAGCCCGGGGCUCAACCCCGGAAUAGCCUUUAAGACUGCAUCGCUUGAAUCCAGGAGAGGUGAGUGGAAUUCCGAGUGUAGAGGUGAAAUUCGUAGAUAUUCGGAAGAACACCAGUGGCGAAGGCGGCUCACUGGCCUGGUAUUGACGCUGAGGUGCGAAAGCGUGGGGAGCAAACAGG
rnacentral:rRNA from 1 species